rnacentral:rRNA from 1 species
CCUACGGGGUGCAGCAGUGAGGAAUAUUGGUCAAUGGACGAGAGUCUGAACCAGCCAAGUAGCGUGAAGGAUGACUGCCCUAUGGGUUGUAAACUUCUUUUAUAUGGGAAUAAAAUGUUCCACGUGUGGGAUUUUGUAUGUACCAUAUGAAUAAGGAUCGGCUAACUCCGUGCCAGCAGCCGCGGUAAUACGGAGGAUCCGAGCGUUAUCCGGAUUUAUUGGGUUUAAAGGGAGCGUAGGUGGAAUGUUAAGUCAGUUGUGAAAGUUUGCGGCUCAACCGUAAAAUUGCAGUUGAAACUGGCAGUCUUGAGUACAGUAGAGGUGGGCGGAAUUCGUGGUGUAGCGGUGAAAUGCUUAGAUAUCACGAAGAACUCCGAUUGCGAAGGCAGUUCACUGGACUGCAACUGACACUGAGGCUCGAAAGUGUGGGUAUCAAACAGGAUUAGAUACCCGUGUAGUC